ensembl:snRNA U6 U6 spliceosomal RNA
GUACUUUCUUUGGCAGCACAUAUGCAAAAAUUAGAAUGAUACAGGAAAGGUUAGCAUGUCUCCUAUGCAAUAAUGACAUAGAAAUUCGUGAAUUAUUCCAUAUUAAC